GGGUUGUGAGGUUAAGCGACUAAGCGUACACGGUGGAUGCCCUGGCAGUCAGAGGCGAUGAAGGACGUGCUAAUCUGCGAUAAGCGUCGGUAAGGUGAUAUGAACCGUUAUAACCGGCGAUUUCCGAAUGGGGAAACCCAGUGUGUUUCGACACACUAUCAUUAACUGAAUCCAUAGGUUAAUGAGGCGAACCGGGGGAACUGAAACAUCUAAGUACCCCGAGGAAAAGAAAUCAACCGAGAUUCCCCCAGUAGCGGCGAGCGAACGGGGAGCAGCCCAGAGCCUGAAUCAGUGUGUGUGUUAGUGGAAGCGUCUGGAAAGGCGCGCGAUACAGGGUGACAGCCCCGUACACAAAAAUGCACAUAUUGUGAGCUCGAUGAGUAGGGCGGGACACGUGGUAUCCUGUCUGAAUAUGGGGGGACCAUCCUCCAAGGCUAAAUACUCCUGACUGACCGAUAGUGAACCAGUACCGUGAGGGAAAGGCGAAAAGAAC
rnacentral:rRNA from 2 species